rnacentral:ncRNA from 1 species
GCUUUUAAAAAUAAGGCGUGGUCCAUUACGGACGAUUUUCAAUAACUUUCGUACUUAGGCAAAUUUCAACAAAAUGUUCUAAAAAUUGUCGACAAGAAAAAAAAACGGACAGACGGACAGGCGGAUAGGAGGAGCAAGGACCGACAAGAUUUGUUGGAUUCAUAUUUUAAAUUAAUCGGUAUAGUAAAAGGUGGGUCUAUCUCAAGUCAUUCUGUAAGUGGGUGGCAUUAGUAUUAAGACACGAGACGUGAAAUCCUUGGACCGCUGUAAAGUUAACUUAAGUAAAGCAUUUGCGAAAAGCGAAAGUUAGAGGUUCAAAGGAGAUCAGAUACCGUUUUAGUUUUGACCGUAAACGAUAUCAACUAGCGACUGGGUGAAAUGAUUACUAUGGCUCCCUUGGUCGCUUGUUGGACCCAAUUCUUUUGGGU